rnacentral:rRNA from 1 species
UCUACGGGUGGCAGCAGUGAGGAAUAUUGGUCAAUGGGCUUACGCCUGAACCAGCCAAGUCGCGUGAGGGAAGACUGCCCUAUGGGUGGUAACCAUCUGUUGUCAGGGAGCAAUUGACGCUACGGGUAGCGUUAUCGAGAGUACCUGAAGAAAAAGCAUCCGCUAAAUCCGUGCCAGCAGCCGCGGUAAUACGUAGGAUGCGAGAGUUAUCCGUAUUGAUUGGGGUUAAAGGGUGCGUAGGCUGAAGGCCAAGUCAGAGGUAAAAUAGCGGGGCUCAAACUCGCUCCGCCGUUGAAACUGGCGUUCUUGAGUGGGCGAGAAGUAUGCGGAAUUCGUGGUGUAGCGGUGAAAUGCAUAGAUAUCACGCAGAACUCCGAUUGCGAAGGCAGCAUACCGGCGCCCAACUGACGCUGAAGCACGAAAGCGUGGGUAUCGAACAGGAUUAGAUACCCCAGUAGUC